rnacentral:SRP_RNA from 1 species
CCCAGGUGCCCCAAGCAGCACCUAUAGUCCCAACUACUUGGGAGGCUGAGGCAGGAGGAUGGCUUGAGCCCAGGAGUUCUGGGGUGUAGUGCGCUAUGCCAAUCGGUGUCCGCACUAAGUUCAGCAUCAGUAUGGUGACCCUCCAGGAGGGGGGGGGUGGGGGAACACCAGGUUGCCUAAGGAGGGAUGAACCGGCCCAGGUCGGAAACGGAGCAGGUCAAAACUCCCAUGUUGACUUUAAUCCCACCUCAGGUCUUGAUCUCAUGGUUGUGAAUUCAAACCCUGCGUUGG